rnacentral:pre_miRNA from 1 species
UAGCCAGUCAGAAACGAGCUUAUUCACAGAAGUACAGCAUAACCCAGUAGACCUGUAGUUUUAUGUGUAAGCUCGUUUCUGAUUGAAAAGUGCAGCA